CAGCUCUUCGAGUGGUGUCCAUGAUUAUUGAGCUUAAAGCGUUCGUAGCCUGCUUGGUAGGUCCCUGCUUAAAUCCGGUCGCUCAACGGUCGGUCUGGUAGGGAUACCGCCUUGCUUGGGGACGGGAGACGGCAACGGUAUUCCAUAGGUAAGGGUGAAAUCUAAUGAUCUAUGGAGGACCACCAGUGGCGAAGGCGGUUGUCGAGAACGUGCCCGACGGUGAGGGACGAAACCCAGGGGAGCAAAUCGGAUUAGAUACCCGAGUAGUCC
rnacentral:rRNA from 1 species